UGGCAAACCUGUUGAAAAGCAGGGACGCAAAGCCAUAUGGGUCUAAGGGCGCCUUCGGGCGGCUAAGGCAGCCGGUUGC
rnacentral:ncRNA from 1 species